rnacentral:rRNA from 1 species
UACGUAGGGCGCAAGCGUUGUCCGGAAUUAUUGGGCGUAAAGGGCUCGUAGGCGGUCUGUUGCGUCGGGAGUGAAAACUUACAGCUUAACUGUGAGCGUGCUUUCGAUACGGGCAGACUUGAGGCAUUCAGGGGAGAACGGAAUUCCUGGUGUAGCGGUGAAAUGCGCAGAUAUCAGGAGGAACACCGGUGGCGAAGGCAGCUCGCUGGGACGGCACUGACGCUGAGACGCGAAAGCGUGGGGAGCAAACAGG